rnacentral:rRNA from 1 species
AUGGCCGCCGUCGCCGGUCCUCGGCUGCUCCCAUGGCUCCUGCUGCUGCAUCCGUUGCUCGUGGUCGCCGCCGCCGCCGCGUCCGGUGUGACGUACGACCACCGCUCCCUCGUCAUCUCCGGCCGCCGCCGCCUGCUCAUCUCCGCCUCCAUCCACUACCCCCGCAGCGUCCCCGCGAUGUGGCCCAAGCUGGUGGCCGAGGCCAAGGACGGCGGCGCCGACUGCAUCGAGACCUACGUCUUCUGGAACGGCCACGAGACCGCCCCCGGCAAGUACUACUUCGAGGACCGGUUCGACCUGGUGCAGUUCGCGAGGGUCGUCAAGGACGCCGGGCUCUACCUCAUGCUGCGCAUCGGCCCCUUCGUCGCCGCCGAGUGGAACUUCGGGGGCGUGCCUGCGUGGUUGCAUUACAUACCUGGAACGGUGUUCCGGACGAAUAACGAGCCAUUCAAGUCUCACAUGAAGAGCUUCACGACGAAAAUCGUCGACAUGAUGAAGAAAGAGCGGUUUUUCGCUUCGCAGGGAGGGCACAUCAUCCUAGCUCAGAUUGAAAACGAGUAUGGAUAUUAUCAACAAGCGUAUGGAGCUGGUGGCAAGGCAUAUGCAAUGUGGGCAGGUAGUAUGGCUCUGGCGCAGAACACCGGCGUCCCUUGGAUCAUGUGCCAGCAGUACGAUGUUCCUGAUCAUGUGAUAAACACCUGUAAUUCAUUCUACUGCGAUCAAUUCAAGCCAAAUUUGCCAACCCAGCCAAAAAUUUGGACAGAGAAUUGGCCAGGAUGGUUCCAGACUUUUGGUGAAAGUAAUCCCCACAGACCCCCUGAGGAUGUUGCAUUUUCUGUUGCACGGUUUUUUGGGAAAGGUGGCAGCGUUCAGAAUUACUAUGUGUACCAUGGUGGAACGAACUUUGAUCGUACUGCUGGAGGGCCGUUCAUUACAACUAGCUAUGACUAUGAUGCACCAAUUGAUGAAUAUGGCCUUAAGCGAUUUCCAAAAUGGGCACAUCUGAAGGAGCUUCACAAAUCUAUAAAAUUGUGUGAACAUAGUCUGCUUUUUGGAAACUCAACGUUACUCUCUCUUGGACCUCAACAAGAGGCUGAUGUUUACACUGAUCACUCAGGAGGAUGUGUUGCAUUCCUGGCUAACAUUGAUUCAGAAAAGGACAAAGUUGUCACUUUCAGGAACAGACAAUAUGAUCUUCCUGCUUGGUCAGUUAGCAUCCUACCUGACUGCAAGAAUGUGGUUUUCAACACUGCAAAGGUUCGAUCUCAAACUUUGAUGGUGGACAUGGUUCCGGAAACUUUGCAAGCAUCAAAACCUGAUCAGUGGAGCAUUUUCACAGAGAGAAUCGGCAUUUGGGAUAAAAAUGACUUCGUACGAAAUGAAUUUGUGGACCAUAUUAAUACAACAAAAGACUCUACUGAUUACCUGUGGCACACUACAAGUUUUGAUGUGGACAGAAAUUAUCCUGCAAGUGGGAACCAUCCCAUUCUUAAUAUCGGCUCCAAAGGCCAUGCUGUUCACGCUUUCCUGAAUAAUAUGCUCAUAGGUAGUGCAUAUGGUAAUGGCUCAGAAUCAAGUUUCAGUGUGCAAAUGCCCAUCAACUUGAAGGCUGGGAAGAAUGAAAUUGCACUACUGAGCAUGACUGUUGGAUUGAAAAGUGCAGGACCCUAUUAUGAAUGGGUGGGAGCUGGCCUUACAAGUGUGAACAUCUCUGGAAUGCAAAAUGGAACGAUGGACUUGUCUUCAAACAAUUGGGCAUACAAGAUUGGGUUGGAAGGUGAACACUACCGUUUAUUUAAGCCCGAUCAAGGGAAUAACCAAAGGUGGAGGCCACAAUCUGAGCCACCAAAACAUCAGCCUUUGACAUGGUACAAGGUGAAUGUUGACGUUCCACAAGGAGAUGACCCAGUUGGGCUAGACAUGCAGUCCAUGGGGAAAGGCCUGGUUUGGUUGAAUGGAAAUGCCAUAGGGAGGUACUGGCCCAGGACAAGUCCUACUGAUGACAGGUGCACUCCGAGCUGCGACUACAGAGGGAAAUUUUCUCCAAACAAGUGCAGGGCUGGAUGUGGAAAGCCGACUCAAAGAUGGUACCAUGUCCCAAGGUCAUGGUUUCACCCAUCAGGGAACACCCUUGUGGUCUUUGAGGAGCAGGGUGGGGAUCCCACGAAGAUUACAUUCUCGAGAAGGGUCGCGACAAGUGUUUGCUCCUUUGUCUCGGAGAAUUAUCCUUCCAUAGACUUGGAGUCCUGGGAUAAAAGCAUCUCAGAUGAAAACCCAUUAGCAGCAAAAGUACAGCUGUCUUGCCCCAAGGGCAAAAACAUCUCUUCAAUCAAGUUUGCGAGCUUCGGAGACCCCAGUGGAACUUGCAGAUCCUACCAACAAGGAAGCUGCCACCAUCCAGACUCUCUAUCUGUUGUUGAGAAGGCCUGUCUGAACAUCAACAGCUGCACAGUUUCGCUGUCAGACGAGGGAUUCGGAGAAGAUCCAUGCCCUGGCGUCACCAAAACACUUGCCAUUGAAGCAGACUGUUCUUAA